CGAUUUCUAGGUGGGCAUUUGAGUGGGUGGUGGUGCCACUAUACCCAGAGGAGAACAGUUUGGGGAGCGAAUUUUGUGAACCUGGUAUUCUGCGUGCAGAGUGACAGCACACACAUCAGGGAAACAGUUGGAUGUUUGCAUCUUGAACUCAGGAAAAGGGGUGCAGGCUGGAGGUGGGAGCGUCAGAGGUGCUGUAAGUGGGUGCCCUCACCCCAGGGGUCCACCACGCCGAGUCCCUGCACCUCCCCCACCCCCCAAUCCUGGCAAACCCUCUCUGCCACCUCCUGCUUUACCCUCCUGGCCGCUGGAAUGGCCAGUAGGGCCCAGAUGCCACAGAGGCUACAUUUCAUUCUGGGGGCAGCAAGAGCCCCCAAAGGGAAGGGAGAGUGGACCCUGGUCUGGCUUGAGAAGCUGGAAGAGCAAAACCCAGCCCCCCAAAUCGACGUGCUCAAGGCUAUCCUGGGGGUAUGGACAGGAAGCCUGGGGACCCCUGGAGAGGAAGCCACUGGCUGAGUCCGGGUGAUCUAUGCAAAACCAGAAAGGACCAGCCUCCUCGCAGAGUUAGAAUGAGCUGUUCUCAGGAAGGAGCCUGGGAGAUGUUAAACCUCCUGCCACCUGGUGGCAUCUGUCACCAACAAGAUGCUCUUAACGAGGGGGCUCAUCUUGCUUGCACACCUCCAAGUUGGGGAGCUCACUCCCUACACUUGGGCCACCCAGACCUUCUGCCUCUCCUCCCUGGGAAAACUCGCCCAUAGUCCUCUCCACCAUUUGCCAAAGGGCUCUGCUUCCUUGCCCAUCUCUCUCCUCUUGCAACGAAGCCUCAGAACAACCACCGUGAUAAUCACAGGACAUUCCCAGUGGAGUCACCUCGUUUGCACGUUCAGCCUCUACCCUGUACAAGAUGCCAGGACCUGGGUGAGGUCCCAGGAUAGGGUCCACGCCACAGGCGUGAGGGGCAGUUCAGGGGUCAUCACACGUCCUCCGUCAAAGCACCAGUGCCCGAUAGCACCUGCUAGUUCUCUCUCUUUUUUAUUUAUUUAUUUUUUUGUGGUAUGCGGGCCUCUCACUGUUGCGGCCUCUCCCGUUGUGGAGCACAGGCUCCGGACGCGCAGGCUCAGCGGCCACGGCUCACGGGCCCAGCCGCUCCGCGGUAUGUGGGAUCUUCCCGGACCAGGGCACGAACCCGCGUCCCCUGCAUCGACAGGCAGACUCUCAACCACCGCGCCACCAGGGAAGCCCUGCUAGUUCUCUUAAAGUUGCCGGAACACCCACACCUCCUCUGCUGCCUUCCUGAGUCACGUUUGCUGCAUUACCUUAAAGGGCCGGCCUUUCAAGCAAAAUGAGUGUGGCGCCAUGUAGGUGAUGUGAGAGGUUUUCAAGGGUAAUGUCGAGCCCCCCUGACUUUGUCCUACGUGUAAUGCAAGCAUGGGAUGCAGCUCUGCCACGCUGCAGGGCUCAGUCUCAACCGCGUCCCCAUUGUACAGCUGAAGAAAACUGAAACUCAGAGAGCAGUGCGAGGGGCUCCAGAGCUGCAGCCGCGGACACAGCCCCCAGCGCAGAGCGGGGCGGCCACGCCAAGGAGGCUGCCCAUCCAGGCACCCACCGUGCGCUGGACGAGGGAGGAGGAGGCUCUGGGUGGGGCCACUGAAGGCAAUUUGAUGCCACAAAUUUGGUCAAGAGAACUAACAGCUCCAAAAUGCGUGCAUGGCAUGGUGGGCCCAGGUUUGCAAGCGUUGGUAACUGGGGAAAGACAAGUUUGCAACUUCUAAUGCAUGGGCCACUCCACAGCUUCACAGUGAAGACCCUGCCCCCGAGAUCCACCAGCUCUCUUUUUUGGCCAACUUUCUCACCUGACUCAAGACAGAGUGUAGAAAGACCAGCCUUGCGCCACCACGCUGCCAUCUCUAAUCGCCCGCGGUCACUCCACAAAAGCACCAGGAUCUUCUCCAGCCAUGACUUGCCAACUGCCUGAGCUUCCCCUUAUGUGUCACUUGGGAUCAGCGGCACCAACCACAGUGGCUUUGGAUGGAUGUUUAUUUCUCUCUCAGGUUAAAGUCUGGUGGUAGGAUGUAAUAACAAUGCUGAGAGACAUCUCUGCUCCCUGAGGACCCAGUCUCCUUCCAACUUCCCACUCCAUCCUCUGUAGGGUGUGGCCUCUGCCCUCAUGGCCCCAAGAUGGUGGCUAGAGUUCCAACCAUCACAUUCAAAUUCCAGGCAGCAGGAUUGAGGAAGUGAAGAAGAAAAGAGGUAAGAGGAACAUGCUUAUUAUCCUUUAUGAUAAAGAGUCCUGGAAGCAGUCACUUCUGGUUUAUAUCCCGUUGAUCAGAACUUAGUCAGGGGGCCAUACACAGCUGCAAAGGAAGCUGGGAGACAGUAUUUUGGGAGCUGUGGCCAGCUAAAAGUUGGGGUUCUAUUAUCACGGAAGAAAGAGAGCAGAUAAAAGGGAGCAAUCGGCAAUUUCUGCUCUUCCCAGGCUCUGGGGCCAGGACGGGAAAGCAGAAGGCGUCCCUCCCCGCGGUGGCCUCGGCACUUCCCUCCAGGUGAGGGGAGUGGGCAGUGGACGGUGCCCACACAGCAGAUCUGCAGAAAGCAGCUGGCAGAGGCCCUGAAGAUAAAUGGGACCCACGUUUCCACCUCCACACACUCCUCCAGAGAGGAAAACAUGGCUUCAAGGAAGCCCCUAACACGUCUUCCUUGACAGCAGGCAUUACGAGGAGGUGGCCAGGCCGCGGCCUUCUAGGUGCAGGUCACACGCUCAUGGGGUGCCUGCCACGUGCCAGGCGCACACAAGGGCAAAGACGCCCCACCUCCCACUAGCGCCAGGAGACAUGAAGGCCGCCACCUCCCUUCCGUGACGUGCUCUGCCCAGGGUGGCUCCUGCCACCAGGGGGUGUGGCUCUGCCACCAGGGGGUGUGGCUCUGCCACCAGGGGGUGUGGCUGACCCCACGACCUCCAAACAAGGCGGCUCCUGAAAGUGAGGGAUGAGGCCGCCAGUUUGAAAACUGCCUCGAGCGCCAGAAGCACAACGAAGGAAGGUGACGAGGCAGCUCACACAGGGCGGCGCUCAGAGCUUUUCUGGUUUUGUGUUUUGAUUUUUUUUUUUCUGUCUUGAAAGAGUGACUGAAGCUUAUUCAAUCCUAAUGCAAAUGGAACCUCUACUUUUGGGUUCCCCAUUUACGUGGCUGGUUUCAUGUACCCUGACAAUUCUAUCUUGCUCCCAACAAUUAGCGACGUUUUCCUCUCUGCAUUACUGGGGUGUCGAGAGGGACCUGCGAUCGCAGUGGGGGAUGGGAGAGUUUCCCUGGGAGCCCCUGUGUGCAGUGGCCAGUGUCCCUCUUCAGGCUGGCCAGGGCUUGUGAAGCACGAGCUUAACUGUGCGCAUCAACCUGGCCAGGCCCACGGUAUCCAGCUGUUUGGUCAGAUGCCGGUCUAGAUGUUGCUGGGAAGGUAUUUUGUAGAUGAGAUCAACUUUUUUUUUUUUUUUUUUUUGCGGUACGCGGGCCUCUCACUGCUGUGGCCUCUCCCGUUGCGGAGCACAGGCUCCGGAUGCGCAGGCUCAGCGGCCAUGGCUCACGGGCCCAGCCGCUCCGCGGCAUGUGGGAUCCUCCCGGACCGGGGCGCGAACCCGCGUCCCCCGCAUCGGCAGGCGGACUCCCAACCACUGCGCCACCAGGGAAGCCCGAGAUCAACUUGUAAAUCAGUAGACUUGGAGGGCAGCAGAUGACCCCCCUUGAUGUGGGUGGGCCUCAUGCAAGCAGCUGAAUGUGGAAAGAGGAAGAAGCCCGAGGUCCCCUGGGGGAGCCCCUGAAGAGGCAACUCUGCUGCGGCUGGCCUUCGUACUCCAGGCUGCGGCGUCAGCUCUCCCCUGGGUCUCCCGCCAGCCCUGCAGAUUUCAGACCUGCCUCCUCCUACAGCCACGUGAGCCGGUUUCCUCAGGUGCAUCUCAGUCUCUGUCUCUCUCUUUCCCUCCCUGUUUUGUGUCCACACACACACACACACACCACACCCCUUUGGUUCUCUUUCUCUGGAGAACCUCAGCUAUUACCUGGGGGUUGGGACAGUCUUCCCUGCCUCUCACCAGCAGCCAUUCCGGUAACCCCAGUGGCUUCCGCAGCCUGAGCCUGACCUGCGGGGCGAUACCCUCGUGUCCCAGCCCGAAGAGAAUGUGCUCCCAGAGCAGAAACCAUGGCGUGGGGUGAUCCUGGGAAGAGCGCCCAUGAUCGGAAUGGCCCCAAGAAAGGCCUGAGGCCUUUGGGAGGGGCUCCCUCUGCUGAAGGUGGCUGGCGAGACAGUUACGAGGCAGCUGCGGGACCUGGUGCAGAGGGCCGCAGGAGGCUGGGCCUGGGGCGGGCUGCCCCCGACGCGUCCCUGCCAGAGCCCCUGUCUCUCAAAUCCCAACUUCGGGGCAGAGAGACCCCGGUACCCGAGUUUAUCCUCUGCAGCCUGCCUGCCCCGGUCUGUACACUGGUCUUCUUGGCCUCGUGGCGCUGCCGCCCCAGUGCUUGCGGGGGUGGCUGGGGGACAGUGGGCUGUGACGUCGGCCUCCGCUGUCUGUAGACCCUGGGGGGGAUGGGAAGACCUCAGAGCAAAGCCAGAGUCCCAGCUAGGGUGGCUGGCAGGUCCCUGCCUGGGGUGGACGCCCGGGCCUCGGCCUCAGUCUCCUGCCAGACUCAGUUCAAGACCGGUGUGGACUCCUGCCCCUUCCAGCCCUGCCCACGCCGCGGCCACCUUCUGGGCCUGUGGGACUUCACCUCCCUGGCCUGGAGCCUUGCUUCUGAGUCUGUCCUGGCCUUUGCUCCUCUCAUAACACCAGGCCUGUCCCCCAGGACCCCUUCAGCCAAGGUCUCCACUAUGGUGAACACAUGCCGUUAGGACCAGGGAAUCCUUGUGGAAUAUUUCCCAUCGCUCAUGUUUAAAGAAACAUUGUUUAAAUCAACUAUGCACAAUUGGCUGUUACUCACCCUACUCUGGUCUGGGAGCUUCUGGCCACAACCUUUGUAAACACCUUUGACACCGUUUCCCCAAGAACCCUUAAAAAGAAGGGCAUAAAAUGGGAGACUCUUAACCUUUUCUGAAACAGUAACAUAAAGGAAUGGCUUAAAGGUACAGCAAGAGGGACCAGGGCUAGACAUAAGGAAGAACUUCCCGCACAGGCCCAGCAAGUCCUGGUGGUCUCUAAGCCGAAUGUUGCUUUGUACACAUCCGUACAGGCAGCUUGGUUGUAUGCUGGGUCAGUAGUGAGAAAAUGGUGCCACGAUGUCAGAGGGAGUUUCCUAUUCCCAGAAAGGAUUCAGGCGACACGGGCCUCCUAAGCUGGGGCGAGGAUGACAUGAACGUGGGUGCUGAUGUGACUUAAGCCAUCACUGGGAUUGAUCAGAUACCCAGACACCUGGGUGUUCUUGCUUCAAGAUACAAAAACAAGACAAUAAAAGAAGGGGGAAGAGGGAGAAAUGGAGGGCCAUUGGCACAGUGACAAACAUGUGUCUCGUGUUUUAAGGUUAACACGCAGGACACCCAAUAUUGUGGUAAACUCGUAAUUUCAUGAUAGGGCUAGCAAAUUUGGAAAAUUACAAAUCUGCUAGGAAGAGGUUUGGCUAGAAGUUAAAUAAACCAAGCAAACCUGCUUUUGAGUGAAAGAACAAGGGUGCACGAUUUUCAUCAGGUUCUAGACCUGUGCUGUCCACUUAAGUAGUCAGUGGCCAGAAAGGCUGCUGAGGCAAGCUAAGUCAUGUGGGAGGUACACACACUGCUGCCCUUCCCGUGACAGACGAGGGGAUGUGCGAUGAGCGCUUAUGUCUGAGAAGCACGGGGACUGCUGUCUCAGCCUCCUCGGCAGAAGGGGCGUGCGGUAUCGCUCGACUCUGAGUUACAGGCGCAUAUGCUGUACACCACCUCAGGUGAGGCGACGUGUGGUGAACUGUCACGUCUGAAGUACGUGUGCACUGCUGUCACAGCUCCACCGUUGACAGGAGUGUGGUGAGCAGUUGCCUGUGAGGUCCACGGGCACACUGUGCAGCCUCCACAAGUGAGGAGACACGCGGUGACUCGUCGUGACGAAGGGACACGUACACUGAUUCCACAGACUCGCAGUUUAAGGGGAGUGUGGUAUCAGACAAUUCUGAGAUAACUACGCAUGCUGUCACAGCCUCCUCAGGUGAAGAAACCUUUUAUAUUCAUCAGGUCUGAGGUAAAUGUGCAUGCUGUUCACAGCCUCCUCAGGUGAGGGAAACUGUGGUAUCGGUCCGACUAAGGUGGAUGUUCAAGUUCUCUUAGCCUCCUCAACCACACAUGGUGACUGGUCACGUGUGAAGAACGUGUGCAAUUCUCUCACAGCCUCCUCAGGUGAGAACACAUGUGGUGACUGGUCAGGUCUGAGGUAAAUAAAUGUAGAUGCUGCAACCGACUCCUUGGGUGAAGAAGUCUUUUAUAUCCAUCAUUUCUGAGGUAAAUAUGCACACUGUCACAGCCUCCUUAAGUGAGGAGACAGGUAGUGACUCAUCGUGUGUGAGCUGCGUGCAAUGCUGUAACAGCCUCAGCAGGUGAGGAAUCUUUUUUUUUUUUUUUUUUUUCCGGUGCGCGGGCCUCUCACUGCUGGGGCCCCUCCCACUGCGGAACACAGGCUCCGGACGCGCAGGCUCAGCGGCCAUGGCUCACGGGCCCAGCCGCUCCGCGGCAUGUGGGAUCUUCCCGGACCAGGGCAUGAACCCGUGUCCCCUGCAUCGGCAGGCGGACUCUCAACCACUGCGCCACCAGGGAGGCCCGUGAGGAAUCUUUUGAUAUGGGUCACGUCUGAGGUAAAUGUCACUUAGUGACUGGUCCCGUUUGAGGAACACAUCCCCCUUCAUUAAUAGGUGAGUGGACCUGUGGUAUAGUGCCUGAGGUAAAUGUGCAUUCUGUCACAGACUCCUCAGAUGAGGAGACACCUGGUGACGGGGCACACUUGAGGGAUGUGUGCACUGCUCUCACAGCCUCCUGAGGUGAAAAGCCUUCUAUAUCGGUCAGGUCUGAGGUAAACGUGCAUGCUGCCACAGCCUCGUUCAGUGAGGAGACACUGGUGACUCGUCACGUGUUAUCUGCACAGGCGAUGCUGUAACAGCCUCCUCAGGUGAGGAGACUUAUGUUCACUGGUCAUAUCUGAGAAUCAUGUGCAAUGAUGUAACAGUCUCAUCAGGUGAAGAAGCUUUUGAUAUCUGUCACUUCUGAGGUAAAUGUGCAUGUUGUUCACAGCCUCCUCAGGUGAGGGAACCUGUGGUAUCGGUCCGUCUGAGGUAAAUGUACGAGCUCUCUCAGUCUCCUCAAGUGAUGAGACGUGAGGUGACUGACUACGUGUGAGGACUCACCUGUGGUGAGUGGGCACAUUUGAGGGAUGUGUGCACUGCUCUGACUGCCUCCUCGGGUGAAAAGUCUUUCACAUGGGUCAGAUCUGAGGUAUAGGUGCAGGCUGCCACAGCCUCCUUAAGGGAGGAGACAUCUGGUGAUUUGCUAGGUCUGAGGUAAACGUGCGUGCUCUCUCAGCUUGCUCAGGUGAGGACACACGUGGUGAUUGGUCACGUGUGAGGAACACGUGCAAUUCAGUUAUAGCCGCCUCAGGUGAGCAGAGCUGUGGUAUCGGUCAUAUCUGAGGUAAAGGUGCCUGCAGUGACAGACUCCUCAGGUGAAGAAGCCGUUUAUGAGGUCUGGGGUAAACGUGCACACUGUCAAGCCUCCUCAGGUGAAGAGACCUGUGGUAGCUGGUCACGUUUUUUCAGAACACUUGCUAUUCAGUAAUAGCCUUCUCAGGUGAGGGGACCUGUAGUAACAGUAAUGUUUGAGGUAAAUGUGCAUGCUGUCUCAGAAUCCAGAGGUGAGGAGAAGUGUGGUGAUUGGUCAGUUCUGAGGUAAAUGUGCAUAUGCUGUCACAGACUUCUCAGGUGAGGAGUCAUGUUCUGAAUGGUCACACUUGAGGGAUGUGUGCACUGUUCUCACAGCCUCCUCAGGUGAAAAGCCUUUUAUAUCAGUCAGGUCUGAGGUAAAUGUGCAUGCUGUUCACAGCCUCCUCAGGUGAGGGGUCUUUGGUAUGGGUGCAUCUGAGAUAAAUGUACACACUCUCUCAGAUUCCUCAAGUGAGGACCAACGUGGUGACCGGUCAUGUUUGAGGAACAUGCGCGAUUCUGUCACAGCCUCCUUAGGUGAGGAGAACGUGGUGACUAGUCACGUUUCAGGAACACGUCCAAUUCAGUAACAGCCUCCUCAAGUUAUGGGACCUGUGCUGUUGGUAAAGUGCAGGCUCCCUCAGCUUGUUGAAGUGAGGAGACACCUGGUGACCGGUCACAUUUGAGGAACACGUGUAUUUCAGUAAUGGCCUCAGGUGAGGGGAACUGUGGUAACGGUCACAUCUGAGGUAAAUGUGCAUGCUGUCUCAGGUCCUCCUGUGAGGAGACACGAGGGGACUGGGCACACUUGAGGGGUGUGUGCACUGUUCUCACAGCCUCCUCAGGUGAAAAGCCUUCUAUAUCGGUCAGGUCUGAGGUAAACGUGCAUGCUGCCACGGCCUCCUCAAGUGAGGAGACACUGGUGACUCGUCCUGUGUUAUCCGCACAGGCGAUGCUGUAACAGCCCCCUCAGGUGAGGAGACUUAUGUUCACUGGUCAUGUGUGAGAAUCAUGUGCAAUGAUGUAACAGUCUCAUCAGGUGAGGAAGCUUUUGAUAUCGGUCACUUCUGAGGUAAAUGUGCAUGUUGUUCACAGCCUCCUCAGGUGAGGAGGCACGUGGUGACUGGUCACGUGUGAGGAACACGUGCAAUUCAGUUAUAGCCUCCUCAGGUGAGGAGAGCUGUGGUCUCGGUCGUAUCUGAGGUAAAGGCGCCUGCUGUGACAGACUCCUCAGGUGAAGAAGCCGUUUAUAUCCGUCACGUCUGGGGUAAACGUGCACAGUCACAGCCUCCUCAAGUAGGAGACACAGCUGACUCGUCACGUGUGAGCUACUCCUGCAACACCGUAACAGCCUCGUCAGGUGAGGAGACGUACGGUGACUGGUCACGUCUGAGAGUCACGUGCGAUGCUGUAACAGCUUCGUCAGGGGAAGAAGCGUUUGAUAGCGGUCCCGUCUGAGGUACCCGUGGCUGCUGUCAUGCCCUCCUCGAGUGAGGAGACACGUGGUGACUGGUCACUUCGGAAGGACAUGUGCGUGCUGUCACAGCCUCCUCAGGUGAUGGGCCCUGUGGUGUCGGUCACAUCUGAGCCGCAACUGCACUCUGUCCCAGCCUUGGCAGGUGAGAAGACUUGUGAAGGGGUCACGUCUGUGGGCACAUCCGCUGCUGUCACCACCUUCACAGGCGCAGGGUUGUGUCGCAUCCGUCACGUCUGGUGGACGGCUGUCUGGUGUCAUACCACCUCAGGUGAGGGGACUCGUCUGAGCUGUCGUGUCUGAGGUACUCAUGGCCGCUGUCACUGCCCCUCUGGUGAGGGGCGUGUGGAGAGCAGUCAUGUCUUAGAUGCCACAGCCUCCUCGAGAGAGGACAUACAUGGCGCCCGGCUACGCCAGAGGGACAGGUGCACUGCUGUCGCGGCCUCCCCGCUUGGAGGUGUGUGUGUGGCAUCGGUCACGUGAGGUACACGCGCAUGCUGUCACACCACCUCGGAGGAGGGGACGUUGCUGGACUGUCACAUCUGAGGUACCCGUGCACCGAUGUCACAGCUCCACCGGCGUGGCGGCGUGCGGCAUCAGCCAUAGCUCAGGUAUACGUGGCGACUGAUCACGUCUGAGGGACACCGCGCGCUCCUGCAGUCUCCUCGGGGCUCGAAGUUUUUGCUCUCGGUCAUGUCUGAGGUACACGUGCGCUGUUGCGUGAGCCUCCUCAGACGAGGGGGCGUGUGGUGAACCGUCACGGGUAAGGGACACAUACGCUGUCACAGCCUCGUCAGGUGAGGGGACAUGCGGUGAGCACGCAUGUCUCCGGUACAGGCGCCAGGCACUCGUGCCCCCUCAGGGGAAGGGCCUGUGGCAUCAGUCGCGCGCGCGGUGCACAGUCCCCUCAGCGGAAGGAGCAGGUGCAGCGCUGUCACAGCUCCACCGCUGGCAGGGCGCGCGGUGACGGUCACGCCUGAGGCACGCACGCGCGGCUUUCACUGCCCUGACGGCGGAGGGCACGUGUGUCUGGGGGAGGCCGGCACUGGCCUCGGAUGCGCCGGGGCAGCAGGGGCACCCUGCUCGGGCCGGUGCUGCUCUGCCUGGUGGCGCUGGGGAAGGUGCCGCCGACCUCGGCACGUGGAGCAUGUUUUCAUCUCAACAGCGAACCGGAGAGAAGAGAAUAUUAUUAUUUUCGGGGACCACCCAGUGAAUCCUGGAAAUAGACUAAAUAAUGAGUGUUUGAUGCACCAUGUUUGGACCUACUACGUGUCGGCUGUUUACUGAAGUUACCCUUUUGUUCUCCCACAGCCCUGUGAGGGGUUAUGUCUCCUGUGAGCUCCUGAGCUCGGGCCUUUCUGGAACGUUCCCCCUCUGGCUUUUGGCCCCUCUCCCUUCUCCUCAACCGCGCUCUUCCCUCCUUCCUCCGUCCCUCUCCUCUUUGCUCUCAGGGGGCCUUGACAUGGCAGUGAGAGGAUUUCCUGGGUUCCUGAACAGUUUAAUCAGAUGUCAUCAUCAACAGGAAGGAAGCAAGGGAGGGGUGGCGGGGAGAGAAGGGGGCCUCUGCCAGGGUUGGCUCGGGUGCCCACUUCCCCAGGGCUCUGCUCAGGGUCACUCCCACCCAUCCGUUCAUCCGUCCACCCGACUGCUGUUUACUGGGCGUCUGCUGUAAUUACUGGGCACAAAGCAGCGACUGAGGCCAACAAACACCCCUGCGCUCGCCAACCGAUAGACCCACGGGGGGAAGACGAUGAACAAAUCCAUAAGCUCAGCUGCAGUCCCUUCGCUGGGGAUACGCCCCACGGUCGCAGUGUGCAGCGGCGCAGCGGGGGGAGGCCUUGCUGAGCCGGGCUCUGGAGGUGGCGAGGAGGAAGCCAUCUGAGUACCCUUGCACUUUAUUUCACAUGAUCUUAGGAUGUGCUGCUGGUCAACCAGCUUGUCCACUGCAGCCACUGGGAACCGCCUCCCUCCUGCAUAAAACCGGCUGGGGGGCCUGUGAGGUCUGCUGGGGACCCUUUACCUUACUCUGUGAGUCAAUCAGGGCUCUGGAGAAACAGAACCAAUAGGAGAGAGAAACACAUACAUGCAUCUAUUUAUCCGUGUUUAUGUACAUGUGUUUAUGUGUAUAUAAACACAUAGAUACACAUUUAUGUACAUGUUUGCAUGUAUAUGUAUAUAUAUACAUACACUCACACACAGACUUACUUUAAAGAAUCGGGGCUGGUGAGUGUAAAAUUCGUCAGGCAGGCCAGCAGCCUGGAAACUCAGGCAGGAGCUGAUGCCACAGUCUCGAGGCAGAAUUUUCUCUUCUCUGGGAAACCUGCGUUUUUGCUGGUAAGGCCUUUCAACUGGAUGAGGCCCAGCCACACUAUCCCAGAUACUCUCUACUUGCCGUCAACUGAGUGUAGAUGUUCGUCUCACCUACCAAAUACCUUCACAGUGGCACCUAGAUGAGCAUUUCAUGGAAUCACUGGGUACAGUGGCCUGGCCAAGCUGACACCUAAAAUCGCCACCACACCACGUAACUCCAUCUAGACCCCCAGAUAGUAACGCCUGGGGCUGCAGCUGCCGACAUCCCUUCCCCCAAAUCACGGUGCCUGGAAGCAGGUCAGAUAACAGCCCCCAGUGCAGCCCAAGAGGACGUGCUCCAGCCUUUUGCAUCUUCAUCCUCUGGGACCGAGAGGGGACCACUUUGCUUUUUUCUGUUCUUUGUUUGUUUUUUUUUUU